rnacentral:tRNA from 1 species
GAGGGUAGAGCUCAGUGGUAGAGCACAUGCUAAGCAUGCACGAAGUCCUGGGUUCAACCCCCAGUACCUCCA